rnacentral:rRNA from 1 species
CCUACGGGUGGCAGCAGUGGGGAAUAUUGCACAAUGGGGGAAACCCUGAUGCAGCGACGCCGCGUGAGUGCAGAAGUAUUUCGGUAUGUAAAGCUCUAUCAGCAGGGACGACGAAAGACUGUACCUGACUAAAAAGCCCAGGCGAACUACGUGCCAGCAGCCGCGGUAAUACGUAGGGGGCAAGCGUUAUCCGGAUUUACUGGUUGUAACGGGAGCGUAUACGGCUGUUCAAGUCUGAAGUGAAAGCCCAGGGCUCAACCCUGGGACUGCUUUGGAAACUGUGGAGCUAGAGUGCUGGAGAGGUAAGUGGAAUGCCUAGUGUAGCGGUGACAUGCGUAGAUAUUAGGAGGAACACCAGUGGCGAAGGCGGCUUACUGGACAGUAACUGACGUUGAGGCUCGAAAGCGUGGGGAGCAAACAGGAUUAGAUACCCGAGUAGUC